GGGGUUGUGGCUCAGCGGUAGAGCACUCGCCUUGAACAUGUGAGACCCUGGGUUCGAUCCUCAGCACCACA
rnacentral:tRNA from 1 species